rnacentral:snoRNA from 1 species
GUUCACUGUUUACUAGCUGCGUGACCUUGGGCAAGUUACUUAACUGCUCUGUCUCAGUUUCCCCAAAGUGCAAGUGAGGAUAAUAAUACUAACAUCAUUGGGUUGUGAUGAAAUUUA